UACGGGAGGCAGCAGUGGGGAAUAUUGGACAAUGGGGGGAACCCUGAUCCAGCCAUGCCGCGUGUGUGAAGAAGGCCUUAUGGUUGUAAAGCACUUUAAGCGAGGAGGAGGCUACUGAGACUAAUACUCUUGGAUAGUGGACGUUACUCG
rnacentral:rRNA from 1 species